GAUGAACGCUGGCGGCGUGCCUAAUACAUGCAAGUCGAGCGAACAGACGAGAGUGCUUGCACUCUCUGACGUUAGCGGCGGACGGGUGAGUAACACGUGGGUAACCUACCUAUAAGACUGGGAUAACUUCGGGAAACCGGAGCUAAUACCGGAUAAUAUUUAGCUUCGCAUGAAGCAAUAGUGAAAGACGGUUCUGCAGUCACUUAUAGAUGGACCCGCGGUGUAUUAGCUAGUUGGUGAGGUAACGGCUCACCAAGGCAACGAUACAUAGCCGACCUGAGAGGGUGAUCGGCCACACUGGGACUGAGACACGGCCCAGACUCCUACGGGAGGCAGCAGUAGGGAAUCUUCCGCAAUGGACGAAAGUCUGACGGAGCAAUGCCGCGUGAGUGAAGAAGGUUUUCGGAUCGUAAAACUCUGUUGUAAGGGAAGAACAAGUACGUUAGUAACUGAACGUACCUUGACGGUACCUUACCAGAAAGCCACGGCUAACUACGUG
rnacentral:rRNA from 1 species